AUGAAGAUAUUGCUGGAGCUUGGGUCUGCACUGCUCUACCUUCACGAGGAGUGGGAGCAAUGUGUGCUUCACCGGGACAUCAAGCCCAGCAACGUGAUGCUUGACGAGUCCUUUGGAGCCAAGCUAGGCGACUUCGGACUCGCAAGGCUCGUUGACCACGCCGCUGGGAUGCAGACCAUGACUGCAAUCUCGGGAACUCCAGGCUACUUGGAUCCCGAUUGCGUGAACACCGGCAAGGCAAGCGCCGAGUCCGACGUGUACAGCUUCGGCGUGGUUCUACUGGAGGUGGCAUGCGGCAGGAGGCCAAUGAGCCUGGCCAACCAGGACAAGGAGAAGAAUGGCGGCGUCUUCCGGCUGGUCGAGUGGGUCUGGGGACUAUAUGGCCGGGGAUCCAUCCUUGAGGCCACCGACGAGCGGCUGAACGGUGACUACAACACUGCGGAGGUGGAGAGUGUGAUGGUUGUUGGGUUGUGGUGCGCGCACCCAAACCCGAGCGCACGACCAUCCAUCAGGACAGCCCUGGCCACGCUCCAGCCCAAGGUCGACCAAGCCUACCAGCUGCCGGUGCUUCCUUCCAAGAUGCCAGUGCCGAUGUAUGAGCCGUUGAGGCCGCUCUCCUGGGCCAAUAUCAUUGGGACGUCAUCAUCAUCCUCCCACACCGUUGGGAUGUCAUCGUCGACGACGUGGUCCAGCAUGCCGAUGGACACCUCUUGUACCACAACCUCUGAUGCUAGCACUUCGACGAACAGUUCGAAGACCUCUUCUUCACUACUCAAACAUCAGUAG
rnacentral:rRNA from 1 species